rnacentral:ncRNA from 1 species
GUAACUCUGGAAAGCAGGCCGCCGCACGGCCUCACCGACGGAGUAAACCCGGCCUUGGGGGCGGGUGAAUCUCUCAGGUCACCGGACAGAGGGGG